rnacentral:rRNA from 1 species
GACAGAGGUGCCGAGCGUUAGGCGGAAUCACUGGGCUUAAAGCGUGUGUAGGCGGAUUUUUAAGUACCUUGUGAAAUCCCACGGCUUAACCGUGGAACUGCUUGGUAUACUGGAAAUCUUGAGCCACUUAGGGGCGAGCGGAACAAAUGGUGGAGCGGUGAAAUGCGUAGAUAUCAUGAGGAAGACCAGUGGCGAAGGCGGGUCUCUGGACAGUUCCUGACACUGAGACACGAAGGCCAGGGGAGCAAACGGG